rnacentral:rRNA from 1 species
UAAUCCGACCUAGGCUCAUCUGAUAGCGCAAGGCCCGAAGGUCCCCUGCUUUCUCCCGUAGGACGUAUGCGGUAUUAGCGUCCGUUUCCGAACGUUAUCCCCCACUACCAGGCAGAUUCCUAGGCAUUACUCACCCGUCCGCCGCUCUCAAGAGAAGCAAGCUUCUCUCUACCGCUCGACUUGCAUGUGUUAGGCCUGCCGCCAGCGUUCAAUCUGAGCCAGGAUCAAACUCU